UGUGUUAAGAAAGGCUAUCUUUAUCCUGU
rnacentral:piRNA from 1 species